rnacentral:rRNA from 1 species
GAUGAACGCUGGCGGCGUGCCUAAUACAUGCAAGUCGAGCGAACAGACGAGGAGCUUGCUCCUCUGACGUUAGCGGCGGACGGGUGAGUAACACGUGGAUAACCUACCUAUAAGACUGGGAUAACUUCGGGAAACCGGAGCUAAUACCGGAUAAUAUAUUGAACCGCAUGGUUCAAUAGUGAAAUACGGUUUUGCUGUCACUUAUAGAUGGAUCCGCGCCGCAUUAGCUAGUUGGUAAGGUAACGGCUUACGAAGGCAACGAUGCGUAGCCGACCUGAGAGGGGGAUCGGCCACACUGGAACUGAGACACGGUCCAGACUCCUACGGGAGGCAGCAGUAGGGAAUCUUCCGCAGUGGGCGAAAGCCUGACGGAGCAACGCCGAGUGAGUGAUGAAGGUCUUCGGAUCGUAAAACUCUGUUAUUAGGGAAGAACAAAUGUGUAAGUAACUAUGCACGUCUUGACGGUACCUAAUCAGAAAGCCACGGCUAACUACGUG